GUUAAUGAUGAUUCUUCCACAUUUUCACGACGGUCAACUGCGUUUACUCCCUGUUAAGAGUAAACUUUGAUGAAUUUCAGCCUGUGACAGGGCGUGGUCCUGAUU
rnacentral:snoRNA from 1 species